CAAAGGUUUGGUCCUAGCCUUAUUAUCAAUUAUCUCUUAACUUACACAUGCAAGUCUCAGCACACCCGUGAGGACGCCCUUUACCCCCUACCCCAGGCUUAGGAGCUGGUAUCAGGCACAACUACUUGCCCAUAACACCUAGUCCCACCACACCCCCAAGGGUAUUCAGCAGUGAUAGAUAUUGUCUAUAAGCGCUAGCUUGACCCAGUUAUAGAGAAGAGAGCCGGCCAACUUGGUGCCAGCCGCCGCGGCUAGACCAACUGGACUCAAAUUGAUAAUCCCCGGCGUUAAGCGUGAUUAAAGCAUGAACAAAUUAGAGUUAAACCUACGUUGAGCAGUGAAAAGCACACGAUAGGGAAAUCCAAAAACGAAAGUUAUUCUAAUCCUUGCUUGAAUACACGACAGCUAGGGCACAAACUGGGAUUAGAUACCCCACUAUGCCUAGCCGUAAACUAUUAACCUACACCCACCCGCGCCAGGGAACUACGAGCUUUAGCUUAAAACCCAAAGGACUUGACGGUGUCCCACCCAACUAGAGGAGCCUGUUCUAUAAUCGAUGACCCCCGCUCCACCCAACCCCCCCUUGCUUUAUCAGCCUGUAUACCUCCGUCGUAAACCCGCCGUAUGAAUGUACCCAAGCGGAUUUAAUGGUCCCACACCAACACGUCAGGUCAAGGUGCAGCCAAUGGGAGAGGUAAGUGAUGGGCUACAAUUUCUAGUCUAGAACAAACGAAAUUCUGCAUGAAACACAGUUAUGAAGGAGGAUUUAGUAGUAAAAAGAAAGUAGCGUGUUCUUUUUAACAUGGCCCUGGGACGUGUACACACCGCCCGUCGCCCUCUUCGACAAUUCUAUUAUGCUAUUUAACCAAACCGCAAGCCAGAGAAGAGGUAAGUCGUAACAUGGUAAGUGUACCGGAAGGUGCACUUGGUACAA
rnacentral:ncRNA from 1 species